GGCCACCAUCAUUCGGCAGCCCAUAUACUAAAAUUGGAACCAUACAGAGGGGAUUAUCGUGGCGCCUGCGCAAGGAUGACAUGCAGAUGCGUGAAGCGUUCCAUAUUUUU